rnacentral:rRNA from 1 species
GACGAACGCUGGCGGCGUGCUUAACACAUGCAAGUCGAACGAAGAGCGAUGGAAGCUUGCUUCUAUCAAUCUUAGUGGCGAACGGGUGAGUAACGCGUAAUCAACCUGCCCUUCAGAGGGGGACAACAGUUGGAAACGACUGCUAAUACCGCAUACGAUCUAACCUCGGCAUCGAGGAUAGAUGAAAGGUGGCCUCUACAUGUAAGCUAUCACUGAAGGAGGGGAUUGCGUCUGAUUAGCUAGUUGGAGGGGUAACGGCCCACCAAGGCGAUGAUCAGUAGCCGGUCUGAGAGGAUGAACGGCCACAUUGGGACUGAGACACGGCCCAGACUCCUACGGGAGGCAGCAGUGGGGAAUCUUCCGCAAUGGACGAACGUCUGACGGAGCAACGCCGCGUGAGUGAUGACGGCCUUCGGGUUGUAAAGCUCGGUUAAUCGGGACGAAAGGCCUUCUUGCGAAUAGUUAGAAGGAUUGACGGUACCGGAAUAGAAAGCCACGGCUAACUACGUG